UGGGGAAUUUUGCGCAAUGGGCGAAAGCCUGACGCAGCAACGCCGCGUGCGGGAUGACGGCCUUCGGGUUGUAAACCGCUUUCAGUGGGAAAGAUAAUGACGGUACCCACACAAGAAGCUCCGGCUAAAUACGUGCC
rnacentral:rRNA from 1 species